GACGAACGCUGGCGGCGUGCUUAACACAUGCAAGUCGAACGGAAAGGCCCUGCUUUUGUGGGGUGCUCGAGUGGCGAACGGGUGAGUAACACGUGAGUAACCUGCCCUUGACUUUGGGAUAACUUCAGGAAACUGGGGCUAAUACCGGAUAGGAGCUCCUGCUGCAUGGUGGGGGUUGGAAAGUUUCGGCGGUUGGGGAUGGACUCGCGGCUUAUCAGCUUGUUGGUGGGGUAGUGGCUUACCAAGGCUUUGACGGGUAGCCGGCCUGAGAGGGUGACCGGCCACAUUGGGACUGAGGUACGGCCCAGACUCCUACGGGAGGCAGCAGUGGGGAAUAUGGCACAAUGGGCGGAAGCCUGAUGCAGCAACGCCGCGUGCGGGAUGACGGCCUUCGGGUUGUAAACCGCUUUCGCCUGUGACGAAGCGUGAGUGACGGUAAUGGGUAAAGAAGCACCGGCUAACUACGUG
rnacentral:rRNA from 1 species